CUUUACAUGAUGAUUGCUGUUUGAUAAGAUACUAUAAGUAAUUUGUGUUGUUCGGUACCUUCUCUAAUAAUGUGGUUUAGGAGAGUCCAUAUCCCCUUAAUAUUAUUUUUGUUAUCCUCUAAUUUAUUCUUAUAAUAUUCUUUCUUACUUAAUCUUAUAAUAUUAGUUAAUUUAUUCUUAUAGCUCUUAUAUUUAUCUUCAGCGCCUUCUGUUAUCUGUUUUAUGAAGUUCCUAUAGAGUAAAUUUUUCUUUUUACAGGCAUUUCUUAAGCCUUUCGUCAACCAUGGACUGUUCUUAUAUUUAGUUUUUUUAUUAUAU